rnacentral:misc_RNA from 1 species
GGAAGUAGAAGUCGUAACAAGGUCUCCGUAGGUGAACCUGCGGAGGGAUCAUUACAGAGUUCAUGCCCUACCGGGUAGAUCUCCCACCCUAUGUUAUUAUUACUUUGUUGCUUUGGCGGGCCGUUAGGCUCCGGCCCGACUACCGGCCCCGGCUGGUAAGCGCCCGCCAGAGGACCCAAAACCCUGAAUAUUAGUGUCGUCUGAGUACUAUAUAAUAGUUAAAACUUUCAACAACGGAUCUCUUGGUUCUG